ACAUAAACCCGAUUGGAACGGAUGCUAAUUUCCUUCAAAUUGGCAGGAGGGAAAGCGGGAUUGAAA
rnacentral:sRNA from 1 species